rnacentral:rRNA from 1 species
UUGAACGCUGGCGGCAGGCCUAACACAUGCAAGUCGAGCGGUAGCACAGAGAGCUUGCUCUCGGGUGACGAGCGGCGGACGGGUGAGUAAUGUCUGGGAAACUGCCUGAUGGAGGGGGAUAACUACUGGAAACGGUAGCUAAUACCGCAUAAUGUCGCAAGACCAAAGUGGGGGACCUUCGGGCCUCAUGCCAUCAGAUGUGCCCAGAUGGGAUUAGCUAGUAGGUGGGGUAACGGCUCACCUAGGCGACGAUCCCUAGCUGGUCUGAGAGGAUGACCAGCCACACUGGAACUGAGACACGGUCCAGACUCCUACGGGAGGCAGCAGUGGGGAAUAUUGCACAAUGGGCGCAAGCCUGAUGCAGCCAUGCCGCGUGUGUGAAGAAGGCCUUCGGGUUGUAAAGCACUUUCAGCGGGGAGGAAGGCGUUAAGGUUAAUAACCUUGGCGAUUGACGUUACCCGCAGAAGAAGCACCGGCUAACUCCGUGCCAGCAGCCGCGGUAAUACGGAGGGUGCAAGCGUUAAUCGGAAUUACUGGGCGUAAAGCGCACGCAGGCGGUCUGUCAAGUCGGAUGUGAAAUCCCCGGGCUCAACCUGGGAACUGCAUUCGAAACUGGCAGGCUAGAGUCUUGUAGAGGGGGGUAGAAUUCCAGGUGUAGCGGUGAAAUGCGUAGAGAUCUGGAGGAAUACCGGUGGCGAAGGCGGCCCCCUGGACAAAGACUGACGCUCAGGUGCGAAAGCGUGGGGAGCAAACAGGAUUAGAUACCCUGGUAGUCCACGCCGUAAACGAUGUCGAUUUGGAGGUUGUGCCCUUGAGGCGUGGCUUCCGGAGCUAACGCGUUAAAUCGACCGCCUGGGGAGUACGGCCGCAAGGUUAAAACUCAAAUGAAUUGACGGGGGCCCGCACAAGCGGUGGAGCAUGUGGUUUAAUUCGAUGCAACGCGAAGAACCUUACCUGGUCUUGACAUCCACAGAACUUUCCAGAGAUGGAUUGGUGCCUUCGGGAACUGUGAGACAGGUGCUGCAUGGCUGUCGUCAGCUCGUGUUGUGAAAUGUUGGGUUAAGUCCCGCAACGAGCGCAACCCUUAUCCUUUGUUGCCAGCGGUCCGGCCGGGGACUCAAAGGAGACUGCCAGUGAUAAACUGGAGGAAGGUGGGGAUGACGUCAAGUCAUCAUGGCCCUUACGACCAGGGCUACACACGUGCUACAAUGGCAUAUACAAAGAGAAGCGACCUCGCGAGAGCAAGCGGACCUCAUAAAGUAUGUCGUAGUCCGGAUUGGAGUCUGCAACUCGACUCCAUGAAGUCGGAAUCGCUAGUAAUCGUAGAUCAGAAUGCUACGGUGAAUACGUUCCCGGGCCUUGUACACACCGCCCGUCACACCAUGGGAGUGGGUUGCAAAAGAAGUAGGUAGCUUAACCUUCGGGAGGGCGCUUACCACUUUGUGAUUCAUGACUGGGGUG